rnacentral:rRNA from 1 species
CCUACGGGAGACAGCAGUGGGGAAUAUUGCACAAUGGGGGAAACCCUGAUGCAGCAACGCCGCGUGAGUGAAGAAGUAUUUCGGUAUGUAAAGCUCUAUCAGCAGGGAAGAAGAAAGACGGUACCUGACUAAGAAGCACCGGCGAACUACGUGCCAGCAGCCGCGGUAAUAUGGAGGGGGCAAGCGUUAUCCGGAUUUACUGGGCGGAAAGGGAGCGUAGUCGGCGGGGCAAGUGUGAAGUGAAAGCCCGUGGCUAAACCGCGGAACUGCAUUGGAUACUGGAUAGCUUGAGUACUGGAGGGGCAGGCGGAAUUCCUAGUGUAGCGGUGAAAUGCGUAGAGAUGUGGAGGAACACCGAUGGCGAAGGCAGCCUGCUGGGCAGGUACUGACGUUGAGGUUCGAAAGCGUGGGGAGCAAACAGGAUUAGAUACCCUAGUAGUC